CUCCGGUUUGCAUAUGAUCAUUGGAGUUAAGCAACAUUGAACUUGGUCAGUACUGAGAUGGGUGACCACCUGGGAAUACCAGGUGCUGUAAG